rnacentral:rRNA from 1 species
GACGUAGGGUCCAAGCGUUGUCCGGAUUUACUGGGCGUAAAGAGCUCGUAGGCGGCUUGUCGCGUCUGCCGUGAAAGUCCGGGGCUCAACUCCGGAUCUGCGGUGGGUACGGGCAGACUAGAGUGAUGUAGGGGAGACUGGAAUUCCUGGUGUAGCGGUGAAAUGCGCAGAUACCAGGAGGAACACCGAUGGCGAAGGCAGGUCUCUGGGCAUUAACUGACGCUGAGGAGCGAAAGCAUGGGGAGCGAACAGG